UGAUAAAACUCUUUCGUCGGCAGAGAAUUCGAGUUUCUUUGUCUACGAGUGUAAAACAUGUAGCCGGACGUUCUCGUCGUUCCAAGCUCUCGGUGGACACAGGGCGAGCCACAAGAAACCUAGAGUGUCGAUAGAGGCAAAGACUAAACUACCCCUGAUGCAGGCCAAGUCUAGUGGGUCAGAGGAAGGGCAAAAAUAUAAUUUCAAAGUGUUUGGUUCAUCCCUAGCUUCGCUGUCAAGUAACAUCAUCAUCAGCAAGGCAAACAAAGUACACGAGUGUUCGAUCUGCGGUUCAGAGUUCACUUCGGGACAAGCCCUCGGCGGCCACAUGAGGCGGCACAGGACAGCCACCACUGCGGUAAUACCGGUCGCUACCACAGAAGUUAGCAGAAACAGUACAGAAGAGGAGACUGAGAAUUUGAGCUCUUACAUUGAGCAGAGGAAAUAUUUACCGCUGGAUCUUAAUCUACCGGCACCAGAAGAUGAUCUAAGAGAGUCCAAGUUUCAAGGGAUUGUGUUCUCAACCACACCAGCGUUAAUAGAUUGUCAUUACUAGUUGUUUGUAGUUGAAUGUUUAGUUACAUGAUAAUAUAUUUGUGAAUUCUUCUUCUAUUACUAUAUUGUUGAACUGGAAUUAUUUCCAAAAAUUGAAUCAAAGUAUCAGUUGAUUUUUUUUAAUAGGAGGAAAAUGAAAUGUGCAAGUUAUAAUGAAAAAGAAGGAAUAAUAGUAGGAGUUAAGUAAAGGGUUGUGUGAUAGUUAGAUGAUCUACUUGUUGAAGUAAGAAUAGUUUGAGUAAGCAAGUGGUUUGUGUUCAUGGUUGCCUUUCAUUCACGAAAAGAAAGUGACUUCCAAGGCAUCUUUUCUUUCCCUCUUUUUAAGGUAUAUGUUAUUAUUCUUUUAAACAAAAAUACAAAUUAUGAGUUUUUUGUAACAUGUGAACCAAGCAUUGUAUUGCUUGUAGACGCCUCUUUCCCCCCACGAUUACGCAGCCAACGCUAUAUUGUGUUCUACUACUUCAAACAAAAUAUGUUAUGGCAUAAAAAUUUAUAGAAAAUCUAGAGAAAUAGAGGCAUAUAUAAAACAUUAUAAAAUACAUAUAAAGAACUUUGAAUGUUUUAUUUGAAAAUAAUAUUUAAUAAAUCUUAUUUUCAUUUGAUAUUUGAGUUUUAGGUACCAGAGUAUAAAAGAAGCACUUUAAAACAUACCAACUAUUUUUUUUUUUUUUGUAAAUAGUGAUGUCUCUUAUGACAUUAUGUAUAAGAAGCCCAACGCUAUAUUCCAUCUUUCCCAUUUCAUAAUUUUAUGGUAUAAAUAUAUUCAUAUGCUAAAUAGCAUUUGAAAUCAUAUUCUUAUGUUAGUCACCUAAUAUACAAAAGUAUUAUUCACCUAAUAUAAUCUGACAAAGUACAAAAUAAUCCUCAUUUUCGAGAUUCCAAAAUUAGUUUGAGAUUUUUCUCAAAAAAGAAAAAAGUUUGAAAAUCAAGUUAUGAUUAACUCAGUCACAAUAUUUAAAAGGGUAAUUAUUUAGUAAUGAAUAAAAAUAAUAAUGUCUCAUUUUGAAUUUGUGCUAUGAUGAACAAUACUAUUUUCCAGCUCCUUUUCAUAACAAGCAAUUUGUAAAUAAGCAUACAUAUAUAAUCCAUUUAUAUAAGUUGGUUAAAUAAUCAGGAAAAUGUUAUAUAUACACACAAUGAAUUUAAGAAACAGAAAGGUAGUGUGGACUGUGGACACGAGAUGGACGUGGUGACCGGCUUAGGUCGUGUAUUAGGUUCCCGGCCCUUUGGUUUUGGGUUGUUGGUCAUCACAUUUACAAUUUAUCAUAUAUGAAUCAUUUUAGUCAAUUAUAACGGACUAACAAUUAUUAUAACAUAACAGAAAGUAGAAAAGAAAAGAAAAACUAAUAAUUAGAAGUAAAAAAGAAAAUAAACAGUGACAGCAGAAACAGUCACAAGAUUCACUCACCGCUUCACUCCUUGCUUCCAAUGCUCCUCUAAUAAAUCUAUUAUUGCAGUUGCAUUUACGAUUCAACGUUAUUAUUGAAAUAGAAUGUAUUAACAUAUUCUUGUUCUCGCACGAUGUUAUUUUGUCGAUUAAACUAUCUUUCUACAAAUUUAUUUUACAGAUUAGUGAAAAACUUGUAGAGCUCCAAGCCUACAAUGUAUAGAAUAAAAUCUGAAUGUAGUUUCCUUCGCUUUCAUUCUCAAAAUCAGCAAGUGAAAGUCAUAUGUACAUAACUCUAUAAGCAAUAAAAAGAUGACCAAUAUACUAAGCCAAAAGAGACUAGAACAGUAAGUUUUUUUUUUUACAGUAGACUGAUAUAUUUGUUUUACCGAUCCAGGAGUCCUAUACAUCAAUAGUUCUUAAAGUGUACGAGUCAAGAACUUUUGUUAACCACGUUUGGUAAAACAUAUACUAAACAAGGGUAAUAAAAUUGAAACAUAUACCAAACAUGUAUUAGAGUUAUGUAUUGUUAGAAAUAGACUACAUCCAUCGACAAGCCCGCAACAAGGCCCAAAAAUGUAAUUGAACUCGGUAUAGUUAAGAAGAGAGGCGGUCGAGACGAUUCAAGUCGGCUUAAGAGAAAAAGAAAGAAAUCGGCGAGUUCAGCUAUAAAUGGGUGGAACUCGCAAAGAGAAGACAUUCACAAAAGCAUAAAGGCCGGCAUGAGAAUGAAGGUUUUCGUGGUUGCACCUUCUUCUUGAAGAAUUCAUAAUUCUCUUACAAUUUCAUUAUCAUUUUCUUUCAUUAUCUUUUUCCUUGUAAUUGAUAUUUGAUCUCUAAAAAAAAAAUCUUUCAUAUAAUCCACUAUAAAGUUAAUUGGCUUAAUAAACACAAAAGAAGAAAAAAAUAAUAAAAUAACUAUAUAAUAAAGUGGCUGGUCAAGUGACAAUUUUGCUAAAAGUGGAUCAUUUACUCCUUUUCCAUGGGUGACAGUGCAACAAACAUGAUGUGUACAUAACAAUUGAUUUAUUGUUACAUUAUAACGAAAAAUAUAACAAAUAUUUUCUUAUUUUUCUAUUCUAUAGGUCUCUAAUAGAAUAUAACAUGAAAAUUGUAAUAGUAAUUUCUUUUUUUGAUUAUUUUUAGUCACUAUCAGUGGAAAAAAAAUGUAUAUAUGAAAACAGUAAAAGAAGAAAAAUGAAACCACCACAAAAAAAUAAAUGGAUGAGAAAAAACAGGUAGUGGGAUAAGGUGGGAAGACGAUGGGUGACCAUAGUGAGGGAGUAGAAGACGGCGACGAAAGAGAAGGAGGAAGGGAAGGAAAGAGAGAAGGAGGAGAAAGAUGAUGAGAAGAAGAAAGAAGAGGACGGAGAAGGAAAGUAAAAAAAGAAAAAAAAAGAGGAGGAAAAAAGGAUGAAGAAGAAGAAAAUUGUUGAGAAUGAGAAAGGGUAAGAAGAGAAAAAGAAGAAUGAAAAUGAGAAUGUGUUUGAUUCUAAUUUAUAUUAUGUAGUGUAAAAUGUAUUGUAUAUAGUUUGAUGUUCACUUCCUCUUUACAAUGUGGUUGACAUAUAUUAUGUAAGAGAUACACUUGUUGUCGUCGAAAAUGACAUAAUUAACAAGACCUCAUAUACUAAAGCGCUAUCUAAACACAAACACCUUUUCAUUGUCAUAUUCACAUCCUCUUGAAGCACUCUAUUCUAUGUUCUGAAAAUAUAAUAGUAUAUACUGUUCAUCUUCUCCAGUUUUGAAUUCCGUCUUCACUGUUGCUUGUUGAAUCAUCAAAUCUCUAACCACUAGCAUGCUCGCGUGAUUCACCUCAAGCUCUAGAUCCAUUAAUGCUGACAUCAGCCUUACCGUUGGGCGUUGGACUUGCUUGAUUAUCCUCUAAUCUUUGUAUCCCAACCAAUAAUCUUCACUGCGAUCUUUAUCUCCACUGGUCUGAUCACCAUUAUCGAGAAUGAUAACGAUAGCUUUCUACCAGUGCUCACUUUUAUUAUGGUAUUCCGGCAACCUCUGUAUUUCUAAAGAGUAUUUUGAUAUGCUAUUUUUGCCUGUUUUUUCAGAUUUUUUUUCUUUCUAUCAGUCUGAAUAGGAUAAAAAAGUUAUAAAAUUUCUUACAAAUGACACAAGGGAUAGCUAGAUCCGAACCACCAUUUAAAUUGCAUGGGCUGAAACCUAAGAUCAAACUGGCCAAAUUAAUGGAGUCCACAAAAAACAUAGUUAUAUUGAUAAACUUACCUUUUUAAAUUACCUAAAAGUAUUGUAUUCUUUUUUUUAAUGAAAAGUAUUGUAUUUUUAGUAGGGUUUAUGAACAAUUACGUAAACAACAUUUCACUAUAAUAAAUUGAUCUAAUAUCCAUUACUGGAACAUAAAAAAUGAAAAACCAGAAAAUCAGUGUAAACUUUUUGAAAACAAAUUUGUAAUAUAUUCGGAAAUGGAAUCAAAGCAGCAAAAUUGGAAAAGCUGCCAAGUCAGGAAAAUUAACAAUUACGUAAAAUAUAGAUUUCGCUAUAAUAGUGAUAAUUCCAUUAACAGAAACGUAAAAAAUGAAAAACCAGAAACCAGAAUAAGGUCUUAGAAUUUUUUUUUGUUCGUCGACCUUUUUGGUGGCGGCCGCAGCGGCUACCACCAACACCUCUUCAAGCUCAUCAGCCGGGGAUGGCGGCGGAGGGAGAGCAGUUUCCGAUGAAUACAACUCGGCGGUUUCGUCUCCAGUGACCACAACUGAUUGUACUGAAGAAGAGGAAGACAUGGCGAUUUGUCUCAUCAUGCUUGCGCGCGGAGCGGCUCUUUCACCAGAUCUCAAGAAUUCGAGAAAAGCUGAUAAAACUCUUUCGUCGGCAGAGAAUUCGAGUUUCUUUGUCUACGAGUGUAAAACAUGUAGCCGGACGUUCUCGUCGUUCCAAGCUCUCGGUGGACACAGGGCGAGCCACAAGAAACCUAGAGUGUCGAUAGAGGCAAAGACUAAACUACCCCUGAUGCAGGCCAAGUCUAGUGGGUCAGAGGAAGGGCAAAAAAAUAAUUUCAAAGUGUUUGGUUCAUCCCUAGCUUCGCUGUCAAGUAAC
rnacentral:lncRNA from 1 species